rnacentral:rRNA from 1 species
UACGAAGGGGGCUAGCGUUGCUCGGAAUCACUGGGCGUAAAGCGCACGUAGGCGGAUCUUUAAGUCAGAGGUGAAAUCCCAAGGCUCAACCUUGGAACUGCCUUUGAUACUGGGGAUCUCGAGUCCGGAAGAGGUUGGUGGAACUGCGAGUGUAGAGGUGAAAUUCGUAGAUAUUCGCAAGAACACCAGUGGCGAAGGCGGCCAACUGGUCCGGUACUGACGCUGAGGCGCGAAAGCGUGGGGAGCGAACAGG